GCAGACUUGUAAAGCACAGCCCUGGCUGUCUGCACCAUGGCCUGGGCUCUUCUGCUCAUACUUCUGGCUCACAUCACAGGGGCCAAAUCCCAGGCUGUGGUGACUCAGGAAUCUUCACUGUACAUCUCUCCUGGAGGGACAGUCACACUCACCUGUGCUUCCAGUACUGGGGCUGUCACAACCAGUAACUAUGCUGCCUGGCUCCAACAGAAACCCUAUGAAACACCCAAGGGGAUAGUAGGUAAUACCAGCAACCGGAUCUCUGGUGUUCCUGCCCGAUUCACAGGCUCCUUGCUUGGAGCCAAGGCCUCCCUCACCAUCACAGGAGCCCAGAAUGAAGAUGAGGCCACCUAUUACUGUGGCUUGUGGUACAGCAACCAUUUGCACAGGUCUCUCUCCCAGAAUUUGCUGACACAGCUGCCCUCUGCAUCUGCCUCCAUGGGACAGACACUCAAACUCACCUGUACCCUGAGCAGUGGCUACAGUAACUACAAUGUGGACUGGUUCCAACAGAGCCAGAGCCAGGGCCCUCGGUUUGCGAUGCGAUUGGGUACUAGUGGUAUUGUGGGCUCCAAGGGGGCCUCGGCCAAGCUCACUUGCACCCACAACAGUGAAUAUAAAUCCUAUGGCAUUGUACGGUUUCAGCAGUACCCAGAAAGGCUCCUCAGCAUUUGA